rnacentral:rRNA from 1 species
CAAAGGGCUCAUGGAGGAUACCUAGGCACAUAGAGGCGAUGAAGGACGUGGUUACCUGCGAUAAGUCUCGGGGAGUUGGAAGCACACUUUGAUCCGGGAAUUUCCGAAUGGGGCAACCCCUUGAACGGCUAACUGAAUAUAUAGGUUGGUGCGAGCUAACCCAGCGAACUGAAACAUCUUAGUAGCUGGAGGAAGAGAAAGUAAAUAACGACUCCCUCAGUAGCGGCGAGCGAACGGGGAAUAGCCCAAACCGAUAGUCUUGACUAUCGGGGUUGUGGGACAGCAAUAUGGAUCAACAAUUCUAGAAGAAGCGUUUGAAUGGCGCGCCAUAGAGGGUGAAAGCCCCGUAAUCGAAAGAUGAGUUGACCUAGCUGUAUCCCGAGUAGCACGGAGCACGUGGAAUUCCGUGUGAAUCUGCGAGGACCACCUCGUAAGGCUAAGUACUACUAUGUGACCGAUAGUGAAACAGUACCGUGAGGGAAAGGUGAAAAGAACCCCGGGAGGGGAGUGAAAUAGAACAUGAAACCAUGAGCCUACAAGCAAUGGGAGCCCGACUAAUCGGGUGACCGUGUGCCUGUUGAAGAAUGAGCCGGCGACUUAUAGGCACUGGCGGGUUAAGCCGAAAAUGGCGGAGCCACAGCGAAAGCGAGUCUUAAUAGGGCGUUUGUCAGUGUUUAUAGACCCGAACCCUGGUGAUCUAACCAUGGCCAGGAUGAAGCUUGGGUGAUACCAAGUGGAGGUCCCAACCGAAUGAAGUUGAAAAUUCAUCGGAUGAGCUGUGGUUAGCGGUGAAAUGCCAAUCGAACCAGGAGCUAGCUGGUUCUCCCCGAAAUACGUUUAGGCGUAGCGUCUAGUGCUCCAACAGGGGGGUAAAGCCACCAUUUCGGUGCGGGCUGCGAGAGCGGUACCAAAUCGAUAUGAACUCUGAAUACCCUGUGUGUAACUAGGCAGUCAGACUGUGGGGGAUAAGCUCCAUAGUCAAGAGGGAAACAGCCCAGACCGCCAGCUAAGGUCCCAAAAUUAACGCUAAGUGAUAAAGGAGGUGGGAUUGCCCAGACAACCAGGAGGUUUGCCUAGAAGCAGCCAUCCUCAAAGGAGUGCGUAAUAGCUCACUGGUCGAGCGAUCCUGCGCCGAAAAUGAACGGGGCUAAGCGUUAUACCGAAGCUGCGGAUAAAUUUAUUUAUGGUAGGGGAGCGUUCUAUGUUGGGUGAAGCGUUAGCGGAAGCGGGCGUGGACGACAUAGAAGUGAGAAUGUCGGCUUGAGUAGCGAAAACAUGGGUGAGAAUCCCAUGCCCCGAAACCCUAAGGGUUCCUCCGGCAGGCUCGUCCGCGGAGGGUUAGUCUGGACCUAAGGUCAGGCCGAAAGGCGUAGUCGAUGGAUAACAGGUCAAUAUUCCUGUACCAGAUAUGUUUUGGGAAGGGGGACGGAGAAGGCUAGCCAAUCCAGAUGUUGGUUACUGGUUCAAGCGUUCAAGGCUAUGAGAGGUGGAGAAAACAUCUCGAGCUGAGGCGUGAGUACGAGCUGCUACGGCAGCGAAGUUGGUGAUGUCAUGCUUCCAAGAAAAGCCCUAUACCCGUUAAAACAUGUAUGCCAGUACCCGAAACCGACACAGGUGGGGUGGUAGAGAAUACCGAGGGGCGCGAGAUAACUCUCUCUAAGGAACUCGGCAAAAUGGCCCCGUAACUUCGGGAGAAGGGGUGCCAGCGAGAGCUGGUCGCAGUGAAGAGGCGCAAGCGACUGUUUACCAAAAACACAGGUCUCCGCUAAGUCGCAAGACGAUGUAUGGGGGCUGACACCUGCCCAGUGCCGGAAGGUUAAGGAAGCUGGUUAGCUUUUAGCAAAGCUGGCGACUGAAGCCCCGGUGAACGGCGGCCGUAACUAUAACGGUCCUAAGGUAGCGAAAUUCCUUGUCGGGUAAGUUCCGACCCGCACGAAAGGUGUAACGAUUUGCGCGCUGUCUCGGAGAGAGGCUCGGCGAAAUAGAAUUGUCUGUGAAGAUGCGGACUACGUACACCCGGACAGAAAGACCCUAUGAAGCUUUACUGUAGCUUGAUAUUGUGCUCGGGCUCUGAAUGCGCAGAAUAGGUGGGAGACAUUGAAAUAGUGCUUGUGGGUGCUAUUGAGUCAUCGGUGAGAUACCACUCUUUCAGAGCUAGGGUUCUAACGCUUACCCGUUAUCCGGGAAGCGGACAGUAUCUGGUGGGCAGUUUGACUGGGGCGGUCGCCUCCUAAAAGGUAACGGAGGCGCACAAAGGUUCCCUCAGGCUGGUUGGAAAUCAGUCAUUGAGUGCAAAAGCAGAAGGGAGCUUGACUGUGAGACCUACAAGUCGAACAGGGACGAAAGUCGGUUUUAGUGAUCCGACGGUUCUGCGUGGAAGGGCCGUCGCUCAACGGAUAAAAGUUACUCUAGGGAUAACAGGCUGAUCUCCCCCAAGAGUUCACAUCGACGGGGAGGUUUGGCACCUCGAUGUCGGCUCAUCGCAACCUGGGGCUGAAGUCGGUCCCAAGGGUUGGGCUGUUCGCCCAUUAAAGCGGUACGCGAGCUGGGUUCAGAACGUCGUGAGACAGUUCGGUCCAUAUCCGGUGUACGCGCAGGAAUAUUGAGAGGAUUUCUCCCUAGUACGAGAGGACCGGGAGGAACGCACCUCUGGUGUGCCAGUUAUCGUGCCAACGGUAAACGCUGGGUAGCCAUGUGCGGAGUGGAUAACCGCUGAAAGCAUCUAAGUGGGAAGCCCACCUCAAGAUGAGUAUUCCCAUGGCAUAAGCCAGUAAGAUCACGGGAAGAACACCCGUUAAUAGGCUCUACGUAGAAGCUUGGUAACAAGUGCAGCGGAGGAGUACUAAUAGAUCGAGGGCUUGACCA